GAUGAACGCUGGCGGCGUGCCUAAUACAUGCAAGUCGAGCGAACAGACGAGGAGCUUGCUCCUCUGACGUUAGCGGCGGACGGGUGAGUAACACGUGGAUAACCUACCUAUAAGACUGGGAUAACUUCGGGAAACCGGAGCUAAUACCGGAUAAUAUAUUGAACCGCAUGGUUCAAUAGUGAAAGACGGUUUUGCUGUCACUUAUAGAUGGAUCCGCGCCGCAUUAGCUAGUUGGUAAGGUAACGGCUUACCAAGGCAACGAUGCGUAGCCGACCUGAGAGGGUGAUCGACCACACUGGAACUGAGACGCGGUCCAGACUCCUACGGGAGGCAGCAGUAGGUAAUCUUCCGCAAUGGGCGAAAGCCUGACGGAGCAACGCCGCGUGAGUGAUGAAGGUCUUCGGAUCGUAAAACUCUGUUAUUAGGGAAGAACAAAUGUGUAAGUAACUAUUCACGUCUUGACGGUACCUAAUCAGAAAGCCACGGCUAACUACGUG
rnacentral:rRNA from 1 species